rnacentral:rRNA from 1 species
UCCUCCCUCUUUCUUCGUGCCUCCUCCCUGCACGUCGACCGCGAGCGCCCGGUGCUUGCACUGGUCAAUCUAGUGGCGAACGGGUGAGUAACACGUGGGUAACCUGCCCAUCAGAGGGGGAUAACAUUCGGAAACGGAUGCUAAAACCGCAUAGGUCCUUUAACCGCAUGGUUGAAGGAGGAAAAGCGGCGCAAGCUUCUGCUGAUGGAUGGACCCGCGGUGCAUUAGCUAGUUGGUGAGGUAACGGCUCACCAAGGCCGUGAUGCAUAGCCGACCUGAGAGGGUGAUCGGCCACAUUGGGACUGAGACACGGCCCAAACUCCUACGGGAGGCAGCAGUAGGGAAUCUUCCGCAAUGGACGCAAGUCUGACGGAGCAACGCCGCGUGAGUGAAGAAGGUUUUCGGAUCGUAAAACUCUGUGGUUAGAGAAGAACAAGUGCUAGAGUAACUGUUAGCGCCUUGACGGUAUCUAACCAGAAAGCCACGGCUAACUACGUG